GAUGAACGCUAGCGGCAGGCCUAAUACAUGCAAGUCGAACGGUAAGUAUGAUAGCAAUAUUGUACCAAGAGUGACGUACGGGUGCGUAACACGUAUGCAACCUACCCUUUACAGAUGGAUAGCUCGGGGAAACUCGAAUUAACCCGUCAUAGUAUAGUUGAAUGGCAUCAUUAAUAUUAAACUGAGGUGUAAAGGAUGGGCAUGCGUCUGAUUAGUAGUUGGC
rnacentral:rRNA from 1 species